rnacentral:rRNA from 1 species
UUGAACGCUGGCGGCAUGCUUUACACAUGCAAGUCGAACGGUAACAGGCCUUCGGGUGCUGACGAGUGGCGAACGGGUGAGUAAUGCAUCGGAACGUACCCAGAGGUGGGGGAUAACGCAGCGAAAGCUGUGCUAAUACCGCAUGUGAUCUGAGGAUGAAAGCGGGGGACCGAGCAGCAAUGUUUGGCCUCGCGCCUUUGGAGCGGCCGAUGUCGGAUUAGCUAGUUGGUGGGGUAAAGGCCUACCAAGGCGACGAUCCGUAGCUGGUCUGAGAGGACGACCAGCCACACGGGGACUGAGACACGGCCCAGACUCCUACGGGAGGCAGCAGUGGGGAAUUUUGGACAAUGGGCGCAGGCCUGAUCCAGCAAUGCCGCGUGCGGGAAGAAGGCCUUCGGGUUGUAAACCGCUUUUGGCAGGAACGAAACGGUGUCCGCUAAUACCGGGCGCUAAUGACGGUACCUGCAGAAUAAGCACCGGCUAACUACGUG